rnacentral:rRNA from 1 species
CCUACGGGAGGCAGCAGUGGGGAAUAUUGCACAAUGGGGGAAACCCUGAUGCAGCAACGCCGCGUGAAGGAUGACGGUUUUCGGAUUGUAAACUUCUUUUCUUAGUGACGAAGACAGUGACGGUAGCUAAGGAAUAAGCAUCGGCUAACUACGUGCCAGCAGCCGCGGUAAUACGUAGGAUGCAAGCGUUAUCCGGAUUUACUGGGUGUAAAGGGAGCGCAGGCGGGACUGCAAGUUGGAUGUGAAAUACCGUGGCUUAACCACGGAACUGCAUCCAAAACUGUAGUUCUUGAGUGAAGUAGAGGCAAGCGGAAUUCCGAGUGUAGCGGUGAAAUGCGUAGAUAUUCGGAGGAACACCAGUGGCGAAGGCGGCUUGCUGGGCUUUAACUGACGCUGAGGCUCGAAAGUGUGGGGAGCAAACAGGAUUAGAUACCCUGGUAGUCCACACUGUAAACGAUGAUAGCUAGGUGUGGGGGGUCUGACCCCUUCCGUGCCGGAGUUAACGCAAUAAGCUAUCCACCUGGGGAGUACGACCGCAAGGUUGAAACUCAAAGGAAUUGACGGGGGCCCGCACAAGCAGUGGAUUAUGUGGUUUAAUUCGAAGCAACGCGAAGAACCUUACCAGGUCUUGACAUCCGACUAACGAGAUAGAGAUAUGUCAGGUGCCCUUCGGGGAAAGUCGAGACAGGUGGUGCAUGGUUGUCGUCAGCUCGUGUCGUGAGAUGUUGGGUUAAGUCCCGCAACGAGCGCAACCCCUGCCAUUAGUUGCUACGCAAGAGCACUCUAAUGGGACCGCUACCGACAAGGUGGAGGAAGGUGGGGACGACGUCAAAUCAUCAUGCCCCUUAUGACCUGGGCUACACACGUAAUACAAUGGCCGUUAACAGAGGGAAGCAAAGCGGUGACGCAGAGCAAAACCCUAAAAACGGUCCCAGUUCGGACUGUAGGCUGCAACCCGCCUACACGAAGUUGGAAUUGCUAGUAAUCGCGGAUCAGCAUGCCGCGGUGAAUACGUUCCCGGGCCUUGUACACACCGCCCGUCACACCAUGGGAGUUUGUAACACCCGAAGUCAGUGACCCAACCGCAAGGAGGGAGCUGCCGAAGGUGGGAUAAGCGACUGGGGUGAAGUCGUAACAAGGUAGCCGUAGGAGAACCUGCGGCUG